UUGAAUAAACUUGAACAGGUUGUUGCUGGCUCCUUUUGGAGCAAGUGCACACUUGUCAUCUUUAUUUCUCCAACUGUGCACAUAUUGUAGACGAGGGAGGAUUGCUGUGCUUUGUUUAUAAUAAAGUCAGCUUUGCCUUGCAUUUCUAGGUCUAUGUUAUUUUUCACAAUCUCUGAACGUGUCAGAAUGUUGAAUUCGUGGAUAAUAUAUA
rnacentral:misc_RNA from 1 species